GUGCUUGCUUCAGCAGCACAUAUACUAAAAUUGGAACGAUAGAAAAUUUAGCAUGGCCCCGGCGCAAAGAAGACACGCAAAUUUGUGGAGCAUUCCAUAUUUUU